UACAGAGGGGGCAAGCGUUGUUCGGAAUUACUGGGCGUAAAGGGCGCGUAGGCGGCCUUCUAAGUCGAACGUGAAAUCCCCGGGCUCAACCCGGGAACUGCGUCCGAUACUGGAAGGCUUGAAUCCGGGAGAGGGAUGUGGAAUUCCGGGUGUAGCGGUGGAAUGCGUAGAGAUCCGGAAGAACACCGGUGGCGAAGGCGGUCUGCUGGGGUAAUGCUGACACUGAUGCGCGACAGCGUGGGGAGCAAACAGG
rnacentral:rRNA from 1 species